GCUAUGAGAACAAUUAGUGGCAGACGGGUGAGUAAUGCAUAGGAAUCUACCUAGUAGUAUAGGAUAGCCACUAGAAAUGGUGGGUAAUACUGUAUAAUCCCUGCGGGGGAAAGAUUUAUCGCUACAUGAUGAGCCUAUGUUAGAUUAGCUAGUUGGUGGGGUAAUGGCCUACCAAGGCAGUGAUCUAUAGCUGGUCUGAGAGGAUGAUCAGCCACACUGGAACUGAGACACGGUCCAGACUCCUACGGGAGGCAGCAGUGGGGAAUAUUGGACAAUGGGCGCAAGCCUGAUCCAGCUAUGCCGCGUGAGUGAGGAAGGCCUUAGGGUUGUAAAACUCUUUCAGUGGGGAAGAUAAUGACGGUACCCACAGAAGAAGUCCCGGCAAACUCCGUGCCAGCAGCCGCGGUAAUACGGAGGGGGCAAGCGUUGUUCGGAAUUAUUGGGCGUAAAGGGCAUGUAGGUGGUUUGGUAAGUUAAAGGUGAAUGCCAGGGCUUAACCCUGGAGCUGCUUUAAUACUG
rnacentral:rRNA from 1 species